rnacentral:rRNA from 1 species
ACGGAGGGAGCUAGCGUUGUUCGGAAUUACUGGGCGUAAAGCGCACGUAGGCGGCUUUGUAAGUCAGAGGUGAAAGCCUGGAGCUCAACUCCAGAACUGCCUUUGAGACUGCAUCGCUUGAAUCCAGGAGAGGUGAGUGGAAUUCCGAGUGGGGAGGUGACAGGCGUAGAUACGAGGAAGAGGAGCAGUGGCGAAGGCGGCACACAGGACUGGAAGCGACUCUGAUGUGGGAAAGCGUGGAGAGCAAGCAG